CCUACGUUAUAUGGCAAAUCCUAUCUUAAAACAUCAAAUAUAUUUAACAAAAGGAAAACUAAAGAAAAAGAAGUACUGUUACAUGCAGCAAUGUGGAUAAACCUGGACAACAUUAUGUGAUAAAAGCCAGACACAAUAAAUCAGAAUCCCAGAACAUUGUGAUGAUUUCAUUGAUAUAAACAAAUCUAUGAAAACAGUAAGUAGUUAGGUAUGGCAGAUUGGUGUUUGCCAAAGCUUGGACAGGAGAGAAUAAGGAUUAAGUUACAGCUAUUGGGUACAAGCUUUUACAGUAAUGAAAUAGCCCAGAAUUAUAUGGUUGAGAUGGCUGAAUAACUGUGUUAAUAUACUAAAACCAAGGGAUUCUAAAUUUGAGAUAUGUGUAUUUUCUGCAAGUAUUAUUUCACUUAAAAAUAUAAAAAAAUCCUCUCCCCAUUUGAUGCAUUAAUAUCAUAUACAAAUCCACAUACCUUUCCAAUAGCUUCAGUAUGAUGUUGUGUACAUAUCUGAA